CAAAGCACUUGGUGAAGACAGUGAAGGCACUUGGGGAUAAUCUCUGUGAAGGCACUAAACUGGUCACCACCAGAGCACUGAGACAUGAAACUAGGCUCCUGCAAUCUGCAGAGGGAGCCUUCUCUCCUUUGGAAGCACGGUGACCUGCAGACCCACCAAACAAACCACAGCAGUUUGCAAAGCCUCUGUUCUUCACUGGGGGAUGCCACCAGAGGGAGGAAGCAGAAACCUGCAAGCUGGUCAAGUUGAUAAAGUACACCCCAAUGAAGACAUGAGCUUUCAUGGACAGAGAUUUUGUGAUGGAUUCUAUGCUGAGG
rnacentral:lncRNA from 12 species